rnacentral:rRNA from 1 species
GAUGAACGCUGGCGGCGUGCCUAAUACAUGCAAGUAGAACGCUUAAGGAGGAGCUUGCUCUUUCCGGAUGAGUUGCGAACGGGUUAGUAACGCGUAGGUAACCUGCCUGGUAGCGGGGGAUAACUAUUGUAAACGAUAGCUAAUACCGCAUAACAGUAGAUAUUGCAUGAUAUUUGCUUGAAAGGGGCAAUUGCUCCACUACCAGAUGGACCUGCGUUGUAUUAGCUAGUUGGUGAGGUAACGGCUCACCAAGGCGACGAUACAUAGCCGACCUGAGAGGGGGAUCGGCCACACUGGGACUGAGACACGGCCCAGACGCCUACGGGAGGCAGCAGGAGGGAAUCUUCGGCAAUGGACGGAAGGCUGACCGAGCAACGCCGCGUGAGGGAAGAAGGGUGUCGGAUCGUAAAGCUCGGUUGUAAGAGAAGAACGAGUGUGAGAGUGGAAAGUUCACACUGUGACGGUAUCUUACCAGAAAGGGACGGCUAACUACGUG